GGACCCGCACAAGCAGUGGAGCAUGUGGUUUAAUUCGAAGAUACGCGCAGAACCUUACCAACGCUUGACAUGUUCGUCGCGAAACUAAGAGAUUAGUUUCUUCAGUUCGGCUGGACGAAAACACAGGUGCUGCAUGGCUGUCGUCAGCUCGUGUCGUGAGAUGUUGGGUUAAGUCCCGCAACGAGCGCAACCCACAUCCUUAGUUGCCAGCAGUUCGGCUGGGCACUCUAAGGAAACUGCCCGUGAUAAGCGGGAGGAAGGUGUGGAUGACGUCAAGUCCUCAUGGCCCUUACGGGUUGGGCUACACACGUGCUACAAUGGUGCUACAGUGGGGUUAAUCCCCCCAAAAGGCAUCUCA
rnacentral:rRNA from 1 species